AGUGAACGCUGGCGGUAGGCCUAACACAUGCAAGUCGAACGGCAGCACAGUAAGAGCAUGCUCUUACGGGUGGCGGGUGGCGGACGUGGGAGGAGUACAUCGGAAUCUACUUUUUCGUGGGGGAUAACGUAGGGAAACUUACGCUAAUACCGCAUACGACCUACGGGUGAAAGCAGGGGAGCUUCCGACCUUGCGCGAGUGAAUGAGCCGAUGCCGGAUUAGCUAGUUGGCGGGGUAAAGGCCCACCAAGGCGACGAUCCGUAGCUGGUCCGAGAGGAUGAUCAGCCACACUGGAACUGAGACACGGUCCAGACUCCUACGGGCGGCAGCAGUGGGGAAUAUUGGACAAUGGGCGCAAGCCUGAUCCAGCCAUACCGCGUGGGUGAAGAAGGCCUUCGGGUUGUAAAGCCCUUUUGUUGGGAAAGAAAAGCAGCAGGUUAAUACCCCGCUGUUCUGACGGUACCCAAAGAAUAAGCACCGGCUAACUUCGUG
rnacentral:rRNA from 1 species